CAGCGCCACGAGUGGUAAUCACGUUUAUUGGGCCUAAAGCGUCCGUAGCCUGUUCUGUAAGUCUUUUGUGAAAUCGUUGUGCUCAACAUAACGGCAUGCAAAAGAGACUGCUGAACUUGGAACCGGGAAGAGUCAGAGGUAUUCUGGGGGAGCGGUAAAAUGCUAUAAUCCUCGGAGGACCACCAGUGGCGAAGGCGUCUGACUAGAACGGCUUCGACGGUGAGGGACGAAAGCUGAGGGAGCAAUCCGGAUUAGAUACCCGAGUAGUCC
rnacentral:rRNA from 1 species